rnacentral:rRNA from 1 species
GACAGAGGGUGCAAACGUUGUCCGGAAUUAUUGGGCGUAAAGAGCGUGUAGGCGGUCCGGUAAGUCAGCUGUGAAAGUCAAGGGCUCAACCCUUGAAUGCCGGUUGAUACUGUCGGGCUAGAGUCCGGAAGAGGCGAGUGGAAUUCCCGGUGUAGCGGUGAAAUGCGCAGAUAUCGGGAGGAACACCAAUGGCGAAGGCAGCUCGCUGGGACGGUACUGACGCUGAGACGCGAAAGCGUGGGGAGCAAACAGG